rnacentral:rRNA from 1 species
UGUUUCAACCAUAUCACCCUGCAGCCCAAGACUGAUCACCCACUGAAGCUAAGCAGGGUUGAUCCUGGUCAAUACCUGGAUGGGAAACCUCCAAAACUUAAAAAAAUAGAAAGUUGAGAAAA